AUUUUGGAGAGUUUGAUCCUGGCUCAGGAUGAACGCUGGCGGCGUGCCUAAUACAUGCAAGUCGAACGCACUAGCAAUAGUGAGUGGCG
rnacentral:rRNA from 1 species